rnacentral:rRNA from 1 species
AUUGAACGCUGGCGGCAGGCCUAACACAUGCAAGUCGGGCGAGUGGCGGACGGGUGAGUAAUGUAUGGGGAUCUGCCUGAUGGCGGGGGAUAACUACUGGAAACGGUAGCUAAUACCGCAUACCAUCAGAUGAACCCAGAUGGGAUUAGCUAGUUGGUGAGGUAACGGCUUACCAAGGCGACGAUCCCUAGCUGGUCUGAGAGGAUGACCAGCCACACUGGGACUGAGACACGGCCCAGACUCCUACGGGAGGCAGCAGUGGGGAAUAUUGCACAAUGGGCGCAAGCCUGAUGCAGCCAUGCCGCGUGUAUGAAGAAGGCCUUCGGGGUGUAAAGUACUUUCAGUCGGGAGGCGUUACCGGCAGAAGAAGCACCGGCUAACUCCGUGCCAGCAGCCGCGGUAAUAC